rnacentral:snoRNA from 1 species
UUGCAGACAGUUAUCUCUGACUGAGCUGACGUGCUCUGUGAGGGAGUCAGUCUGCUACAGCAACUUUCAGGCUUGAGCAUCUUCUCUUUGGGCGUGUCCUCUUUGAGCUGCCGCUCACCUGAGAACAGUGA